AUCCUUUUGUAGUUCACAAGUGUGAUGAUUGGGUUGUCACGAGCCUGUGUGUGAUGUGCUUCCCUCAAACCUUAUUAUGCUGUCAGCACAUUACCUGUCUGAUG